rnacentral:tRNA from 1 species
GGGACUGUGGCUCAGUUGGUAGAGCGUUUGCCUAACAUGCAGAAAACCCUGGAUUUGAUCCCUAGCCCUG